rnacentral:rRNA from 1 species
CCCUUAGAUGUUCUGGGCCGCACGCGCGCUACACUGAUGCAUUCAACGAGUUUCUUCCUGGUCCGAGAGGAAUGGGUAACCUUUUGAAAGUGCAUCGUGAUAGGGAUAGACUAUUGCAAUUAUUGGUCUUCAACGAGGAAUUCCUAGUAGACGUAGUUCAUCAGACUGCAUCGAUUACGUCCCUGCCCUUUGUACACACCGCCCGUCGCUCCUACCGAUUGAAUGCUCAGGUGAGCCAUUCGGACCUUCAUCAUGCCGGUUUCCGGUUUUGAUGAGGGAAAGUCUUGCGAACCUUAUCAUUUAGAGGAAGGAGAAGUCGGAACA